AGUGGAUAGAAAUGCAGGAUGAGGAGUUCCCUUGUGGCUCCUAGCAUGUGUGAGGAUCUGUGAGGAUGCAGGUUCAAUCCCUGGCCUUGCUCAGUGGGUUAAGGAUGCAGUGUUGCUGCAAGAUGACGUGGCUUGGAUCUGGCGGUGCUGUGGCUCUGACGAAGGCAGCUGCAGUUCCAAUUCAACCCCUAGCUCCAGAAACAUCCAUAGGCCACAGGUGCAGCCGUAAAAAGAAAGAAAAAAGACAUGCAGGAUGCCCAGCUCAAUCUCAGACCCUGGAAAAAUCCUCCGGUCACAGGCCACCGCCGCAUCCACAGAGUGAAAACAUGCUACCGUCCCCGUUCCGCCUGCAAACCGUGCACCUUGCUCCGCAGCGGGCACUGGGCUUUGCGGAGCAGAAACAUCGCUGGUCCGGGCCCAUCCUGCAUUCCAGCCUCCUGUACUGGGGGCUCCCAUUAGCCCCGCUCCGCUCCCUGCCAGACUCCCCACCGAGCUUUUGGGCUUUUGUCAGCUCGAGACAGCCCUUGAAAACCGUGAAAGCUGAGGGGGUGUGUGUCUAAUAAAGUUCAAGCUCUGUAAUUUCG
rnacentral:lncRNA from 1 species